rnacentral:rRNA from 1 species
AUUGAACGCUGGCGGCAUGCCUUACACAUGCAAGUCGAACGGUAACGCGGGGCAACCUGGCGACGAGUGGCGAACGGGUGAGUAACGCAUCGGAACGUGCCCAGUAGUGGGGGAUAGCCCGGCGAAAGCCGGAUUAAUACCGCAUACGACCUAAGGGUGAAAGCGGGGGAUCGCAAGACCUCGCGCUAUUGGAGCGGCCGAUGUCAGAUUAGGUAGUUGGUGAGGUAAAGGCUCACCAAGCCUUCGAUCUGUAGCUGGUCUGAGAGGACGACCAGCCACACUGGGACUGAGACACGGCCCAGACUCCUACGGGAGGCAGCAGUGGGGAAUUUUGGACAAUGGGCGCAAGCCUGAUCCAGCCAUGCCGCGUGCGGGAAGAAGGCCUUCGGGUUGUAAACCGCUUUUGUCAGGGAAGAAACGCUCUGGGCUAAUACCCCGGGGUAAUGACGGUACCUGAAGAAUAGGCACCGGCUAACUACGUGCCAGCAGCCGCGGUAAUACGUAGGGUGCAAGCGUUAAUCGGAAUUACUGGGCGUAAAGCGUGCGCAGGCGGUUAUGCAAGACAGAUGUGAAAUCCCCGAGCUUAACCUGGGAACUGCAUUUGUGACUGCAUGGCUAGAGUGCGGCAGAGGGGGAUGGAAUUCCGCGUGUAGCAGUGAAAUGCGU